rnacentral:rRNA from 1 species
GCUUGCUGGGGGAUUAGUGGCGAACGGGUGAGUAACACGUGAGUAACCUGCCCUUAACUUCGGGAUAAGCCUGGGAAACUGGGUCUAAUACCGGAUAUUCACUUUUCACCGCAUGGUGGGGGGUGGAAAGAUUUUUUGGUUUUGGAUGGACUCGCGGCCUAUCAGCUUGUUGGUGAGGUAAUGGCUUACCAAGGCGACGACGGGUAGCCGGCCUGAGAGGGUGACCGGCCACACUGGGACUGAGACACGGCCCAGACUCCUACGGGAGGCAGCAGUGGGGAAUAUUGCACAAUGGGCGCAAGCCUGAUGCAGCGACGCCGCGUGAGGGAUGAAGGCCUUCGGGUUGUAAACCUCUUUCAGUAGGGAAGAAGCGUAAGUGACGGUACCUGCAGAAGAAGCACCGGCUAACUACGUGCCAGCAGCCGCGGUAAUACGUAGGGUGCAAGCGUUAUCCGGAAUUAUUGGGCGUAAAGAGCUCGUAGGCGGUUUGUCGCGUCUGCCGUGAAAGUCCGGGGCUCAACUCCGGAUCUGCGGUGGGUACGGGCAGACUAGAGUGCAGUAGGGGAGACUGGAAUUCCUGGUGUAGCGGUGAAAUGCGCAGAUAUCAGGAGGAACACCGAUGGCGAAGGCAGGUCUCUGGGCUGUAACUGACGCUGAGGAGCGAAAGCAUGGGGAGCGAACAGGAUUAGAUACCCUGGUAGUCCAUGCCGUAAACGUUGGGCACUAGGUGUGGGGGACAUUCCACGUUUUCCGCGCCGUAGCUAACGCAUUAAGUGCCCCGCCUGGGGAGUACGGCCGCAAGGCUAAAACUCAAAGGAAUUGACGGGGGGCCCGCACAAGCGGCGGAGCAUGCGGAUUAAUUCGAUGCAACG